rnacentral:misc_RNA from 1 species
CACGUAGGGACCAAGCGUUGUCCGGAUUUAUUGGGCGUAAAGAGCUCGUAGGCGGUUUCGUAAGUCGGAUGUGAAAACUCAGGGCUCAACCCGGAGACGCCAUCUGAUACUGCGAUGACUAGAGUCCGGUAGGGGAGCAUGGAAUUCCUGGUGUAGCGGUGGAAUGCGCAGAUAUCAGGAGGAACACCAAUGGCGAAGGCAGUGCUCUGGGCUGGAACUGACGCUGAGGAGCGAAAGCAUGGGGAGCAAACAGG